GGAUGUGAGGGUGAUCUGGCUGUGACAUCUGUCACCCAUUGAUCACCAGGGUUGAUUGGGCUGAUCUGGCUGCCUGGGAGGUUGUUCCCUUCUUCCCUCACUGCUCCAUGUGUCUCCCUCCCGAAGCUGCCAGCUCAGUCAAAGAGCAUGGCCUUCCCCGAAUAGAGAUGGACCAGUCUUCAGUUGAGGGUAUACAAGUAGCUGCAUUCCCCUGCUAAAACCUCCAAACAAGCUUUCAAGGUCUAUUUGUAGGAGAACAUAGUCAAGCUUCCAAGACUGCAGACACAUCCAAAUGAGGCUCUGCAUGUGACAGUCUGCCUUUUUUU
rnacentral:snRNA from 1 species